rnacentral:rRNA from 1 species
GAGUUUNAUCCUGGCUCAGGACGAACGCUGGCGGCGUGCCUAAUACAUGCAAGUCGAACGCACGAAGUUGAAGAGCUUGCUCUUUAACCAAGUGAGUGGCGGACGGGUGAGUAACACGUGGGUAACCUGCCCAUUAGAGGGGGAUAACAUUCGGAAACGGAUGCUAAUACCGCAUAGUUUCAGGAAUCGCAUGAUUCUUGAAGGAAAGGUGGCUUCGGCUACCACUAAUGGAUGGACCCGCGGCGUAUUAGCUAGUUGGUGAGGUAAUGGCUCACCAAGGCAAUGAUACGUAGCCGACCUGAGAGGGUGAUCGGCCACACUGGGACUGAGACACGGCCCAGACUCCUACGGGAGGCAGCAGUAGGGAAUCUUCCGCAAUGGACGAAAGUCUGACGGAGCAACGCCGCGUGAGUGAAGAAGGUUUUCGGAUCGUAAAACUCUGUUGUUAAAGAAGAACAAGGAUGAGAGUAACUGCUCAUCCCCUGACGGUAUUUAACCAGAAAGCCACGGCCAACUACGUGCCAGCAGCCGCGGUAAUACGUAGGUGGCGAGUGUUGUCCGGAUUUAUUGGGCGUAAAGCGAGCGCAGGCGGUUCUUUAAGUCUGAUGUGAAAGCCCCCCGCUCAACCGGGGAGGGUCAUUGGAAACUGGAGAACUUGAGUGCAGAAGAGGAGAGUGGAAUUCCACGUGUAGCGGUGAAAUGCGUAGAUAUGUGGAGGAACACCAGUGGCGAAGGCGACUCUCUGGUCUGUAACUGACGCUGAGGCUCGAAAGCGUGGGGAGCAAACAGGAUUAGAUAC